GAUGAACGCUGGCGGCGUGCCUAAUACAUGCAAGUCGAGCGAACGGACGAGAAGCUUGCUUCUCUGAUGUUAGCGGCGGACGGAUGAGUAACACGUGGAUAACCUACCUAUAAGACUGGGAUAACUUCGGGAAACCGGAGCUAAUACCGGAUAAUAUUUUGAACCGCAUGGUUCAAAAGUGAAAGACGGUCUUGUUGUCACUUAUAGAUGGAUCCGUGCUGCAUUAGCUAGUUGGUAAGGUAACGGCUUACCAAGGCAACGAUGCAUAGCCGACCUGAGAGGGUGAUCGGCCACACUGGAACUGAGACACGGUCCAGACUCCUACGGGAGGCAGCAGUAGGGAAUCUUCCGCAAUGGGCGAAAGCCUGACGGAGCAACGCCGCGUGAGUGAUGAAGGUCUUCGGAUCGUAAAACUCUGUUAUUAGGGAAGAACAUAUGUGUAAGUAACUGUGCACAUCUUGACGGUACCUAAUCAGAAAGCCACGGCUAACUACGUG
rnacentral:rRNA from 1 species